CUGUGGAUUCCGCGGCUCAAAACGUCCUUUGUUGCUACCGGGCAGUCAGCCACUCCUUGACCCCAGUGAGAUGGAAGAUAACGUCUCGGUGGGGAUUUGUAGGAAAAACCAGGUCUAGGCUGGGGGCGGGGUGUGAACAGGGGUGACGGUGCUCCUGGCGUGGGAGAAGACACACCCCUGCAGCACGGUGCACACCCAGCCCACCGUCUUGGCAGAUGGCUUCUGGAGCCCAGGACUGGGUAGGGCAGAACUGCAGGCCCCUGGCAGUUCCGUGGGGCCCCGUGGUGAACCCCGCCUCACCAGGUGUGCUCGUCCCUGCCUCCCGUCCUCCGCCCUCUGGGAGCAGGGCUGGGAUUCUACUACUCUUCGUUCCAAACAGUGGUGAGACUCCGCCGGGGCCCCUCCAGCCCUUGGCACUGGCUGGCAGACAACAGCCUGAGGCUCCUCCCAGGCAGAGGUGGGGUCCUCCCAGGGCUGCCCACCGGUCGUCCUCUCUCGCAUCCUCUCAGGGCUCUCCAUGUUCAAGUUCCCCCAGCUCCAG
rnacentral:lncRNA from 1 species